AGUACCGAAAGCUCAUCAACAGCCAUGUUGCAGAGAGUUUUUUCUCACAGCAGUUUACUGACGGUCAUUGCCUCUGGUUAUCGUCACUGCUUGUGUGCUGAUAAUUCUCCUUGCUUGAAGUUUUGCCGAUCUGCAGAACCCACAGUUGGACCUGGAUGGGAAGGCCUGCGCUGCCGUCGGCCAGAGUGGCCUCAUGGCUAUCUAUGAUACACUGUUUAGCCAAGUGGGUUUGCUAACUGUUGUUCUUUCUUUUGUUGUUGUUGUUGUUGUUGUUGAGGUUAACGGUUUCUGACAUCAAACUUACCUUACCGCGGCUUGAUGUGACAUUGUCUCAGCUUCUUGUUAUAGAUCGUGAUUUCCGGGAUCCAAGUUUUGGGCUCCAGCUUCAUGAGACUGAAUUUUGUUCAAGGCUAACAGUGAAAAUUUUAUUUGUAAAAUAUGGCGAUCCCUAUAGUGGUAUUUCUGAAGCUUCGCUAUGCUUGCUUUCCCACCAACAAGCAGUAAUCCAAUCACUGGUGCACCAGCGGCCAUCCACCAGGACGAUGCGGACAGCCAAAGAAAGCUCCUUCCCCACCGCUGACAGCCGAAACCGCUCUUGUGCUCAUCAAGGUUAGUCAAUGUAUAGGACUGCGCUUUUGUGUGUCCUUUCCUUCAAGCUGUCAUUCAGGAGAAGAGAGGAGCGAGGCCUCGAUCCAGACUCAGGAGGAGGAGGAGACGAGGAGCAACACCUAUUUUUAUUGUCCGUCAAGCCCCAUUAUACUUUGCGGUUCCAGCCACCUGAUCACUAACCUGAAUGAGUAAGUAGACCAUUAUAUAUGAUGGUCUUGCUUCCUUUUGUGAUCAUGUAUCUAUGUUAGAUCCGGUGA